rnacentral:lncRNA from 1 species
UAGCAACAUAUCUUUGGGGUGCAAGACGGGAGGUCUUGUAGAAAUGCAUACAGGAUACUGGAACACACGAAUUAACAGAAAUUCACCAUCCUCCUCCUCUAUUUUUUUCUAGACUAGAAGACACAUGGAACAGAGCAGAGGUGACCUACGUAAGGUCACACUUCUGGCUGGUGUCCUAAGAUUCAACCGAAUGCAGAGAACUCACUACCAUCAGGUCCCGUGAAGACGUGCUGAAUGCCCUCCACGGCUCUCCAACUUGAGAUGCGUGAGGAUCAUCUUAUGAACGGACAUAGAAUGUACAAGCCCCUCAGCCGACUCGGAGUUUCUGACUCACUGAGAGCCCUGGACUGGGAUAAAAUCACUGUGAACCUCUCAACUUGAAGUGUUCUUAAAAACACCAAAUGUCAUGAACCAAAAGUGGCGUUUUGCGCGUGACUCGAGUCAUCCUGCGCCUCACAUUCUAAGUGAAAGACCGAGCUAGGUGAAUGUUUGUCCUACCACAUUCACUCCAGGCAUUAACGCAUGACAGGAGCGACCUCUCUGUGCUAUUGUGUCUACUAUUACAGGCAUUACCUUCCAAAGCAUGCGGAGCCUGGGGAAUUUAAUACCCCGAGUUCUGCAGCCAAAAGAUGCCUUGAGCUGUCUUGGCUGUAUCCUUAGCUUGGCUUCCUCCAGAUGGUACUGUGCUGAUUCAUUUCCUGGUGUGCACUUUGAGCUGAUUAUUUUAUUCUUUCAAAGAAUGUAAUAAAUUGCAGUUUGCUUGGGGUCGGGUGACAAUCGGGAAAGAAUACUUUAGUUUAUAAUAAGAAGCAUGUGAUUUAGGUUCAUGGAAUGGGCUAAGGAAGUAUUUAUAAAUAAUUACAUGUCUGAGU